GCAUCGCGACGUCAAGAUAUAAUAAUAAAACGUUAAGGUUAUAAGGUUAUAUUUGAAUCUGUUGCAGAAAAUAUAUUUGGUGCUAUCGAGGUAAAGCGAAAAGAAGACCGGUAUACUUUUAUAGCUGGGAUUUCUUCAGCUGGAAUUGCAUACGGUCUUAUACCGUAUGCAAUCCCAGCUGAAGAACUUUGCUAAACAGCGUAACAUAUUGGUUAUAAAGAUUUGGCAGUAACAGAUAAUAGAGGGAAGUGCAAUCCAGCGCUUAUAAUCGAACACAAUGACUUGGGUUCUCAAAGGUUUUACAAUGCACGGAGUAAGCAAAGUUUCAAAUAUGAUCACUUGAGGAAGGAAGUGCAAAAUUAUGAACCUUAUGAACCAGAUCCUAUAGCGGAGCAUUGGAGGUCAGCUUUUCAAGACGAGAUAACAAAUUAUACUCAAAGUCAUUAUAGACACGGCGCCUGCUCAGUUUUUGGAAUAAGAAUAUUAAAAGAAAUAAUUUAAAAAAAGAGAAGAAAAGCGCAUUUUGCGUGAAGUCUGGACGUAUAAUAUGCAUGGGAGCAAACUAUAACAAUACUAAAUAGGAUUCAAUAAAAUUAACGAAUGCCAAUUCUACAUAAAUAAAACUGUAUUAUCAACAAUAAUAUAUAUGUUCAAAAAUAAUAUAUAUGUGCUUAUAUUAUAUUAUCUCACAAUAAUACAGUAUAGU